GCCACAGGGGAGAGGAACUUCUGCGAAGAAGGCUGGGCCUCCUUCUGUCCCUCCCUCCCUCGCCCUCCUUCCUGGUCCUUCGUUCCUUCCUGUGUUGCUGUUGUUGAUUAGGCACGCAGAAUGCAUUCGGACAACAGAGCUUUCUCAUCUCUCAGACGACGCUGCACCCCCACCCCCCGCAUCUACUAACAACCUCUUCCUGACCUAGCUCAGAUCGAAGUCUUCGCCACUCUGCGUUUGGCCAUUCAAUUCGCGCUCCCGCUGCGCUCAAAUUGGGGCAGCUGAUGUUUGGGCCCGUUUUGGUGCGGGUUGUCGCGGUUUAGGGCUCGGGCGCGUUCGGGAGCUCGGCGUGACGAGGGGAGGAGGUGGUGCCAUGCGGUUUUCGGAGGUGGCCUCGAGGCGGGCGUGUGGCGGUGUGGUUGGGAUGGUGCGAGUGAGGAGGACGUGAGCGGUGCGUGGGCCGAGAUGCGUGGGCGGAGCGACGCGUGGUUUGGUUGAGUGAGGGGCCGCGGAGGCGAUCGUCAGGCUUGGAUUGUGGUUGCAGCGGUUAUGGAGGAGAUUGGUGCGGUUGAGCCUCCGCGUACGGAUGCGCGAGGUUUAGCGGAGGAGAGGGAGAGGGAGAGGGAGGGGGAGCGUGAGGGGAGUGAGAGCGAGAGGGGCAGGGGCGUAGGUGUCAGAGAAGAAGCUGAUAAUCGGAGCCACGGGCAACUGCCGGACGGGGACCCUGACGACGAAGAGGACGUGUGUCGAAUCUGUAGGACGCCCGGGGACGAGGAGUCGUCUCUGUACCAUCCGUGUGCCUGUAGUGGCAGUAUCAAAUAUGUGCACCAGGAAUGUCUUCUGCAGUGGCUCAACCACAGUAAUGCGCGGCAGUGCGAGGUUUGCAAGCAUAUGUUUGCAUUUUCGCCCGUGUAUGCACCUGACGCACCUGCGAGGCUGCCCGUGCGGGAGCUGUUCCUGGGCAUGACAGUGAAGGCUCUGAAGGGGGCACGGUUCUUUAUUCGCCUGCUGUUUGUAGUCUGCGUGUGGCUUCUGCUGAUCCCGUUUGUAACUCUUUGGAUUUGGAGGGUUACGUUCGUGAGGAGUUUGGUGGAAGCGAAGCGACUGUUUUUCAGCCGGUGGACUUUUAGUCUGCUACUCACAGACUGCUUGCACGGGUUCCUACUGUCGGCUGGAAUCGUGUUUAUCUUCCUGGGCGUGACGUCAUUGAGGGAAUAUUUUCGGCACCUGCGAGAAAUAGCUGGAGGGCAGGAUGGCGACAGGGAGGAUGAAGCAGUGGACAGGGGCUUGGGAGGCCGAGCUGGCAGGCGCCUGGGCCAGGUGGUUGCCGGAGUGAGAGGUUUUGGAGGUGACGGGGGUCAGGCAAUCGGAGGCCCGCAUGGCAAUCACGAGAUGGUCGUUGUGCCUGCGCCUGCUCAGGGUCUCGCAGCUGGAGCCGGUCAGUUGCUGCGGCGGAACGCCGAGAACGUGGCUCUUCGGCUGGAGAUGCAAGCUGCACGGCUGGAGGCACAUGUGGAACAGAUGUUUGAUGCUGUCGAGGAUGCGGAUGGUGCCGAGGACGUGCCGUUCGACGAGCUCGUGGGAAUGCAAGGUCCCGUUUUUCACUUACUGGAGAACGCGGUUACAGUGCUGCUGAGCAAUGCAAUUUUUCUGGGAAUAGUUGCUCUGAUACCAUUCACUCUUGGUCGGAUCAUUAUUUCUGUUUUCUGGAAGAUACUGGUAGCUACGGGAAGUGCCAGAACCAUGACACGUUGGUCAGAGAUAUCCAUGGGCGUGUUCGGUGUGAAUGGCAGCUCCGCUGCCCGGGGUCUGGACAUCAGUUCUGCUGCUCUGUUGGUGGGGGAAGAGAGAGAGAACAACGGUAGCUUUUUCAAGUUACUUGCCGAGCAUAGUAUCUCAAGCGAGAGCGCAGCUUCGGUUGCGAUACCCGUGAAUGCGGUGAAAGAAGCUGUGGUUCAGGUGUCGGCGUUCAGGUUUUCAGAUGCGACAACAGUGGCUGUUGGCUACGCGGCAAUAUUUUCAGCUGUAGUGUUCUACCUGGGACUCAUCGUCCUGAUAAGAUAUAGUCGAGGGGAACCUAUGACUGUUGGAAGAAUCCGCGGGGUUGCUUCUAUGGCGGAAGCUGCGCCGUCAGUAGCGCGGCAAGUGAUAGCCGGGGUGAGCUACAUGGCUACAGGGGUGAAGGUGGCGUUCCUGCUGUUCAUCGAGCUUGGAGUAUUUCCACUGCUGUGUGGAUGGUGGUUGGAUGUAUGUACUUUAGGCAUCCGUGACGUUACAUUGACGCAGGCUGUAUCAUUUCUCUCGUCCUCCCCUUCGAUGAGCUCUUUUCUGCAUUGGCUGGUGGGGAUCGUGUACAUGUUGCAGAUCAGCAUAUUCGUGAGUCUGUUGCGAGAGGUGUUGAAACCAGGGGUUUUGUAUUUCCUGCGGGAUCCGGCGGAUCCAAACUACAACCCAUUCCGGGAUCUGAUCGAUGAUCCCUUGCACAAGCAUGCACGCCGUGUGCUUCUUUCUGUGGUGGUGUACGGCAGCCUGGAUUGUGAUGCUGGUGUUUUUGCCAGUCAGACUGGCGAUUUCGAUUGCCCCUCGUAUGUUUCCACUAGACAUAAGGGUAUCCGAUCCGUUCACGGAGAUCCCAGCAGACAUGUUGCUAUUUCAUAUUUGUAUACCAUUCGCUGUGGAGCACUUCAGACCGCGUGCAACCAUCAAGAGCGUCUUGUUCCAUUGGUUCUCGACUGUCGGGUGGGCUUUGGGUCUGUCGGAGUUUCUACUCCCUGGAGCCGAGGAGGCAAAUGGAGUUGGUGGCAAUAAUGAGGAAGAGAGGGGGGUUGGAGGACAAGAGAGAGGCGACAACUUUGAUGGUAAUCACCCAAGAGGUGAACACGGUGAUGGUGCAGGAAAUCGUCACCAGAUUGGUACAGCGUCUGGUAUGGAUGCGGAGGACGAGGCUUCCGACAACGAGGGCGAACAUGACACGGAUGAGUACCGAUUUGCAUCGCGAAUGGUGCUUCUUUUACUAGGGGCAUGGUUAACUCUUCUAGCAUUCAAUUCGGCCAUGGUGCUGCUUCCCAUUUCCAUUGGGCGAAUCAUAAUCACUUCGUUCUCUCGUCUUCCUAUUACGCGUGGUGCUAAAUGCAACGACUUGUACGCAUUCAAUAUUGGGUGUUACGUGCUUUGGGCCACCGCUGCAGCAAUACAGUAUGUGGUGGAUUACCUGCGGACCCACGACAUUCGGGUGUUUUUGCGACAGGUUGUGAAGUGGUCAUCCAUCGUGGCCAAAAGCUUUGUGCUUCUCUCCCUCUGGGUUGUGGUAAUUCCCGUGCUUAUUGGGCUUCUCUUCGAGCUGCUGGUUGUGGUUCCCUUGCGAGUGCCUAUUGAUGAGAGCCCAGUGUUUCUCCUGUACCAAGACUGGGCGUUGGGAUUGGUGUUUCUGAAGAUCUGGACAAGGCUGGUGACGUUUGGACAGAUCGUGCCCCUGGUGGAUGACAGCUGGCGAGUGAAGUUCGAGCAAGUUCGGACCGAUGGGUUUUCCCAUUUAAGAGGUUGGUGGGUGUUCACAGCAAUCGUGGGCCCGGUUCUUAUCCAGCUGUUGACAGCUCUGUGCGUGCCGUAUGUGUUUGGGCGGGGAGUGUUCCCUCUGUUCGGGUGUUCAAUGAAGGUGAAUUCGGCAGUGUAUCGCUAUGCUUGGUUGGGUUGCCUAUUGUUGGGAAUCGUCUGGUACGGUGGACAGCGACUGCAUCGAUGGGUAUUGGAUCUUCACGAUGCCAUCCGCGACGAUCGCUACCUUGUGGGACGGCGACUGCACAAUUACGGGGAGCAGAAGAAAGCUGCAGCUGAUCCGGAGUUAUUGAGACUGGCGUCGUCAGGGUUGGCAGAAGCUGAAGACGCUGCAGUCGUGCAAGCAGGUGAAGCAGCGUCACAGGCAGGGGAGCGGGAAGGCAGUGGGGAGGAAUUGGAAGCAGCAGCUGGCUGCGCGGGCGGGAUUGCGAGCGAUUCAGACAGGAUGAUGGACCCUGCAGUGAUGGGGGCUCACAGGAUGGAGGCGAGCGCGAGCACACUAAAAUUCCGGGGUGCUGUCAGCCAUGAAAGCACCAGGAGCUAAGACAUUACUCAGUCUUGCAUUGUGGUGGACGAACCACAUAAUGCGGACUUCGAGUUGCACUUAUGUAUAAAUGUAGGUAGGCACGCAGGUUUGUUGAGCAAUGUACGUGCCUGUGUGUGGCUGCGUAUUUCGUCGGUCGGACGAUGGGCCUGUUGCGAUGCAGCGGAUCACCUGGACCGAUUGCUACAACUGACCAAGUCUCGCCACGGUCUGCAUUGCGCGCGCUGUGGCGUGGUGGUAGAACUUUUCAUGACAUGGAGAUUUCGUAUAGAGAGGGAGGUGACAUGGAACGUUUGUAGGUAGAGUAGCUCCUGUUAAAUUCAACCCCAUUUUUUUGUACCAUCACUGUGGACAGUUUCUCACGAGUAAGCCUUGUGGUAUAAAGAUGUCUAUAUUUCAUGA